rnacentral:rRNA from 1 species
AUUGAACGCUGGCGGCAGGCCUAACACAUGCAAGUCGAACGAGUGGCGGACGGGUGAGUAAUGUCUGGGAAACUGCCCGUUGGAGGGGGAUAACUACUGGAAACGGUAGAUAAUAACGCAUACCAUCGGAUGUGCCACGAAGGGAUUAGCAAGUAGGUGGGGUAAUGGCUCAACGAGGAGACGAUCCCUAGCUGGUCUGAGAGGAUGACCAGCCACACUGCAACUGAGACACGGUCCAGACUCCGACGGGAGGCAGCAGUGGGGAAUAUUGCACAAUGGGCGCAAGCCUGAUGCAGCCAUGCCGCGUGUAUGAAGAAGUCCUUCGGGUUGUAAAGUACUUUCAGCGAGGAGGCGUUACUCGCAGAAGAAGCACCGGCUAACUCCGUGCCAGCAGCCGCGGUAAUUC